UUAUGUUUGCCUGCUGGGACACUGGCAGCAGCCACUCUUUUUCCUAUAAAACCUGCGGAAGCGCGCAUUGUCAAGCCCGAGAUCAGGAGGAAAAUUCAAGAGAAGUUUGAGAAGAUCAGGGAACAGUUUGGGUUGUCAAAGCCAAAGACCAAUGAUGGGAAAGAGCCAUACCCAUCACCACCAUCGUCGGAGGAGAAAAAGCCUCAAACUUUGCCCCCUGCACCACCUCAAAAUGCUCAAGGAAGCCUGCUUGUACCACCAGUGGAAGCAAUUCUGCCUUGAGAUGGUAAUUCUUCUCUGAUAAAUGGUCAUUCAUUCCAU
rnacentral:lncRNA from 1 species